rnacentral:lncRNA from 10 species
UCCACAUUAAUGAGAUUGGAGACUAUGAAAGGCAAAUGUAAUUUCUGUUUGCCCUUGUGAGUUGCAUUUUUUUCUUGAGGUUGUGAGAUUUUUCUGGCUUUCCCUUGGUUCACGCCAGAUUUUCUUCCUUUCUCUUGGCUCUGCUGCCCCACUGUGCCUCUAGAGCCUCUUCCUGACUGGAAAUAAACAACCUUCCACGGAGUUCUCCUGUAGCCAUGAUUGGACAAGGUCUAAUCUCUAUAAUAAAUCACAUAUUCUACCUCACACCUAGUGGUUCUGCUUGCGUGAUGGAACUAUGACUGCCACACUUGAGAAAUAUAUCUUGCAAUGGCCCUGAUAGAUUAUUUCUGACUAUAUCUGACUAUAUCUCACAGUCAGAACGUUCUGACUGUGUAUCUUUGAAGCAAACUAUACCCUAUCUUUGUUAUGUUACAAGUUAAACAAAAUCAUUGUUUCCCUUGCUCAAAAGUGAAUGAUUUCAAAAGCUAAGAUAAUCUCUCUAAAGCUCAUUUGAUUGAACAAGUACAUCAAAUAUAUUAGAACCAUGGUAUUAUUUACAUGCUUAAAUUUACAUUCAUGAGGUCAAAAUACCAGCUUGGAUUAUUCCUUGACUCUUGACUAUGAAUCUUGUAUGACUACUCUCUUUUUGAGGAUCUAAGCCUUACUAGAAACUGAACACUUAACCAUGGGACAUCAAGUUCUCAUCUGACCAGACCUGCUCAUCAUGAAUUUGGUAUUAUUCUGACCAACAAGCUGUGAAGUUGGGCAUGAACAGCAGCAAAUAGAAGUAAUAUGUGUAUGAUCAGGCUGGAGCAGGCCCUGAAGGCACAAGUAAGUUGCAUGAAAGAGUGACCCAAAUACCUAUGGUUGAACACUCCACCUACACAGCCUUAUUUUUCUUCCAACCUUCACCUACAGCCUCAUGGCGAAGUCUCAGUGACCAGCUGACUAUAUAUAAACCAGUUACAGAAACAGUAACUUUUUCUCUUGUUGUUAAUAUUGUGUGUGUAUGUAGCAAAUAUCUCUGUUUUUCUCUCUCUUAUUCCCUUGUCAUGUAACAUAAGAUGUAUUAACUUUAUAUUGUAGUAUUUAAGUAUUGUUAAUUUUACAUCAUAGGGUUCAAGUUAUCAAGGAGAAGAGCGAACAUCACUCAAAGACCUUUCCUCUUCUUCCAGCAAGAAGGCCCUUACCAGAUGCCAGCACCUUGAAAUUGGUCUUUCUAGCCUCCAGAUCUGUGAGUUAAUACAUUUUUCUUCAUUAUAAAUUACCCAGUCUGUGAUAUUUUAUUUUACCAGUGCAAAGAGAGCAAAGACACAUGUUAAUGAUGGUUAUAUCUUUUUGGAUAAUUGAACCAUUCAUCAUUAUGUAAUGACACUUUCUCAGUGAUAAAUUUUACUGUUCUUAAGUAUGAUCUGUAUGAAAUAAAUACAACCAUACCUGAUUUUAUUGCACCUCACUUUAUUUCAUUUUGCAGAUAUUGUAGUUUUUACAAAUUGAAAGUCUGUGGCAACCCUACAACUAGGAAGUCUGUCGAUGCUACUCUUCCAAUAGCACGUGCUCACUUUUGUCUUUUUGUCACAUUUUGGUAAUUCUCUCCGUAUUUCAAGCUCUUUUAUUAUUAUUAUAUUUGUAAUGGUGAAGUGGGAUAGGUGAUCUUUGAUGUUAUCAUUGUAAUUGUUUUGGGGCACCAUGAACUUGUAAGAUACUCUUAUAAGAUGGUGAACUUAAUCAAUAAAUGAGUGUGUUUUGACUGCACCACUGAUUGGCUUUUCCCCAAUCACCUUUCAUCUCUUUGAGACUCCCUAUUUCCUAAAACAAAAUAUGUUAAAAUUAAGCUAAUUAAUAACCCUCA